GUGAGAGGGAUGACACAGCUCAUUUGCUCUUCAGAGCCCUGUAGUAUUAGGCAGGGAGAUGGAGUACUUUAGUCAUCACAACUUUGAAGACAAGCCAGAGCCUUUUUGCAACAUGUUAUGUUGGUGACUGGAUAGUUCCGCGGGCUAAUGAGGAGACAGAAAAUCACAGUGAACCCAGUGACCAUUUCAAAUCCAAGUAGAGCUGUCAUUCUACCUCUGGGUAGAGCCAUCAUUCUGCCUCCCAAACACCUGUUCAGGAAGAGAUCUUAAAACACAUUGUUUCAUGUAAAAAACAUUCAGUCUUUUGCUUCCGGAAGCUGAUACAGAAGGACAGCGCUGCUCUUCCUUAGUUUACUGACCAGUUUGGCUGCACAGCUUGCUAGGGCUGUGCACAGGAAGGAGGGGGCCCAUAUAAAGGAAGGGUCAGGCUGCUUGUGACACAGAGGAUCAGCAUGCACAUGACUGAAGAGGAGGAAAAGGAAAACACUGCCAUAAAAGUGACAGCAGAGAUGAAGAAUUGUCAUGAAUGUGUAAUGCACCACUGAAAAGAUGCAGGAGAAAACAUACCAAGCUGGAAGUCUUAUCGUAUCUGGAGACUCACUAUUCCAAAGCAGGAAUUAAUUUAAAGAGAAGAAGCUGCUGCUCUUGUUGGCUGACAUCGCUUGUUCAUAAACACAGGAAAGAAAAACACUAAAGUGAUAUGGUUACCAUAAUUAUUAUCUUUGUUCAAAAAACAUGGUGGUUUUCCACCCUGAAUUCAGUUCAAGCAGCCGUGGCAGCUAGUACCAGUCAGGAGCUAAUGCCACACACUGCAGCUACUCUGGCAGCAAAUGCAGUAAAUCUUGCACUUCAAAUGCACCACACAGGACGUCGAGGCGUACUAAAGACACAGGACCACCGAAGAAUUAUCUAGUGUUGCUGUUACAAUUAAUUUGUGUGUAGCUAACCAAGGAUACAUUGCCAAACCAAGCCUGGCAAAUGCACGCUGCUCCAAUAGCAUAGAAAGCCCAUAGGGUGAUGAUUCUAAACACAGGGUUUCUGUGAAGGCUCAAGCUUAGCAUUUAAUUAUUUGAGCCCUGUUUGGAGGGCAUGCUGUGGCACUAGGUUGGAAAUUGGCUGGUCAAAGAAAUAUACAGGAUCGUUUUAAGCCAAAGUCAUCACCAAAUGCAAUACUGCUGUGUAAUCAGGGUAAUCAAUUCCAGCCCUGUCAGCUUCUUGUCUUGCUGUGGCUGCCCAGGGGAUAGGCGCAGAACAAGGCUUUUCCAGCUGGAGGAGGCAGUGAAGCCCUGGUUAAACAGGUAUCUGUUUGGUUUUGGAUAAAGCUUAAAGCAAAGCUGGUUAAAUGACUUGCUGAGUUGAUGAAACCUUGCAAUUCUGGUUGCUGCUCUCCUGCUUUCUCUCUCUCUCUUUUGCUGCAGUAACUGGCCUGUCUUGGUAGAUUUGUUUAUAAAUGCUCACUUACAGUUUACUCGAUUUUUAAAAUUGCAAGGGGGGAAGAUUUUAAGCCAAAACAGUUUUUGAACUUCUUUUGGUUUAAAAAAAAAAAAAAAAAAAAAAAAAUCUUUCACGUUUUAAGUAUGCAAGCCAGAGUUACUUAGAAGACCAUGUUUGGGGUAUUUGGGUUCAAGUUCUGAUUCACAAUUCAUCUCCACUUUCCUACUCUCUACUCCUGACCUCCCCUCCCCCCUUUUAUUAUGGUAUCCUUAAAAAGGAAGGGACUGAAAAGGAAAAUGAAUGCUAGAAUAAUCGCAUACUAGUUGUUGCCCUUUCCUUUAAAUGAGUGAGAAAGUGGGGAUUGUUUCUUGAAAUUUUUCAAAACAAGUUAAAGUUUUGGCUGUAUACCUUUCCAUGGUACUUCACACUGCUCACUUACCAGGAGAAGGUUAAUAUUUGGAAAAGCCGGGAAUGAGAGUACAGUGGUGUGUUCUUGUAGAAUUAGAUGGAAACUUAAUGGAAAAUAUUGAAGGAAAGCUGAAGUGUGAUCAUUUUGUGUUAAGCACAGAAGGUGAAGAGUUACUCUCUGGGCCACAAGAAGUAAGGGGUUGUUCUGCAAGUGACAGUGGAGGAAAGGGAUUGUUGUGCUUCUGUCACAAAAGGAAAAGGAUUACCGUGCAAAUGAUGUUCAAGGAGAAGGAUUAGACUGCAUUAUGACAGGGAAGAGAGGUCAUUGUACAUACAACAUGAAAGGAGAGGGUAGCGUGACACAGAGC